ACGAGUUAGGGUCUUCUAGGCCCGACCUCCCAACCCUAUGUUUAUUGAACCUCUGUUGCUUCGGCGGGCCCGUCUCACGACCGCCGGAGGACCGCCGCGAGGCGUCCUCUGGCCCGCGUUCGCCGAUAGCCAACCACUUAAAACUCUGAAUAAAUCGUGUCAUCAUGUCUAAGUCUAUGAUUAAAUUAAAGCA
rnacentral:misc_RNA from 1 species